AGGCUUAACACAUGCAAGUCGUGCGAGAAAGUAUCUUCGGAUACGAGUAGAGCGGCGGACGGGUGAGUAACGCGUAGGAAUCUACCUAGUAGAAGGGGAUAGCCCGGGGAAACUCGGAUUAAUACCGUAUACCUCCUUUGGGAGAAAGAGGGCCUCUCUUUGAAGCUUUCGCUACUAGAUGAGCCUGCGUAAGAUUAGCUUGUUGGUGAGGUAACUGCUCACCAAGGCUACGAUCUUUAGCUGGUCUGAGAGGACGAUCAGCCACAUUGGGACUGAGACACGGCCCAGACUCCUACGGGAGGCAGCAGUGGGGAAUAUUGGACAAUGGGCGCAAGCCUGAUCCAGCCAUACCGCGUGUGUGAAGAAGGCCUUCGGGUUGUAAAGCACUUUAAGCAGGGAGAAAAAGUUGUAAGUUAAUACCUUACAACCGUGAUGUUACCUGCAGAAUAAGCACCGG
rnacentral:rRNA from 1 species